AUUGAACGCUGGCGGCAUGCCUUACACAUGCAAGUCGAACGGCAGCACGGGAGCAAUCCUGGUGGCGAGUGGCGAACGGGUGAGUAAUAUAUCGGAACGUGCCCAGUCGUGGGGGAUAACGUAGCGAAAGCUACGCUAAUACCGCAUACGAUCUAUGGAUGAAAGCGGGGGAUCGCAAGACCUCGCGCGAUUGGAGCGGCCGAUAUCAGAUUAGGUAGUUGGUGGGGUAAAGGCUCACCAAGCCGACGAUCUGUAGCUGGUCUGAGGGGACGACCGGCCACACUGGGACUGAGACACGGCACAGACGCCUACGGGAGGCAGCAGAGGGGAAUUUUGGACAAUGUGCGCAAGCCUGAUCCAGCAAUGCCGCGUGCAGGAUGAAGGCCUUCGGGUUGUAAACUGCUUUUGUACGGAACGAAACGGCGAGCUCUAAUACAGUUCGCUAAUGACGGUACCGUAAGAAUAAGCACCGGCUAACUACGUGCCAGCCGCCGCGGUAA
rnacentral:rRNA from 1 species